rnacentral:rRNA from 1 species
UACGUAGGGACCAAGCGUUGUCCGGAAUCAUUGGGCGUAAAGAGCGUGUAGGCGGCUUGUUAAGUCUUGCGUGAAAUCUCGGGGCUCAACCCCGAGCGGUCGUGAGAAACUGGCAGGCUAGAGUGCGGGAGAGGAGAGUGGAAUUCCGAGUGUAGAGGUGAAAUUCGUAGAUAUUCGGAAGAACACCAGUGGCGAAGGCGACUCGCUGGACAGACAUUGACGCUGAGGUGCGAAAGCGUGGGGAGCAAACAGG